CGCACUUAACGGGAGUGGGAGCAAGCAGCAGAUUUCCCAGACAUGGAUCCCUGGGCAACCUCUCAAUCCUCCUUGUGGUGGGAUGGGGAAGGCGUUGAUCUGGGGACACGUAGCUCAUGAUUGAGCCGUGUUUCCUUAGGAGGCUUUUGCUGUUUUUGGAGGACUGUGAUCUUGCCCACAGUGGCUUGAUAUGCUCUGACCCUGAAAGGACAGAGGGUUUUUGUGAGGUUGUAUAGAACAGGAUGUCAAAGAGGACUGAAACCCAAAGGAGACCGGAAUGCUUCCUGUGCCGUCCCACUGACAACCAGAGACUGGGUUUGGGGAUCACUGGCUUCGGGUGAGGGUGCUUGCUGUCCUGCAGACUGUUCUGGAUUUGGCCUUGGAAUUGGCGUUUUUAUAAAAUCUCCAGGAGACUCUGAUAUACAUGAUUUGCAAAACUGCACACUUUGUGAAGCAACACUGCCCUAAGGUAACAACACCUGAAGGCUAACGUUGACUGAGGAGACCUCAGCGUGAGCUCUGGAAGGCUUGGACAUGCAUCUCUGGUAAACAUUUCAGUUCCCUCGGGCAAAGUGAAGUUUAUGAAUCAUUGAAGAUUCACAUGAAGUUGUAAGAAAUCUUGCAGGGAGAUCCCCUCCCACCGCAGGAGUAGUGUCUUGACAAAGCCAUAAUGCAGUCUCCUGGCCAGGAUGUUGGCAUCGACCCGGUCCAGACAGGGAACAUCUGCCACCAGAAGGGUCCCGCCUGCUGCCUUUCACAGCCAAAUCCACUUCGCUCCCACCCCAGUGGCUCCUUAGCCCUUGGCAGCCACUGAUCUAUUCUCCACAUCUAUAAUCUUGUCAUCUCAAGAAUGUCAUGAAAAUGAAUCAUACAGAAUGUUAACUUUUGCGAUUGGUUUUCUUGACUCAGCAUGAUUCUCUGCACAUUCACUCGGAUUCUUGAGUGUGUCAAUAUUUUGCUCCUGUUUAUUACUGAGUAGUAUACAAUAGAUAUUUAUAUUUAUAACCCAAAAAUGUUUCAUCUUAAUGCCACAUAAGACGAUGGAGACAGCAACAUCACACUAUUUACCCGAAGUUGGCAGCAAAACCUACAUCUCCUGCACGCUUCUGUCCAAGGUAAUUUCUUUGUGCUCUCUAAUCUCCUUUAUCUAAGAGCCAGGUUAUUGGAGAAUGAAUGCCAACAGCCCUGCUAUUUCUGUUUUGCAACCUGCCACCUCUUUGCCAGGGUCUAUGAGCACAAUGCCAGCAUGAAUGGUGAGGAAUGUGAGGUGGGUGAGGAAAGGCAAAUGUCAGGAGGAAAAUGCACAUCUUGAAAGAGGAUCUUGCGAGGGCUCCCCAGGUGGCUCGCCGAAUGCCUGUUACAAAGGCCAGACAGGAAGCUGUGCCGGUUCUCAGAUCACGGGCGUCCUGGUGCAGUCGGGGCUGAUUGUCAGGAGGUGGAUUUGAGUGCAAGCUCCACGGCAUGCUCUAAGACAUCAUGUACCUAUUGUAACAAUUCUCAAGGCACUUCGGAAAAACACCUGACUUGCAACUCCCAAUCGUCCUAUGAGAAAGAGUACGAAGUAGCUUUUCUUAUUUUAAAGGUGAUAAAAAUUAGUCAGUACAUUUCCUUGUUUGCGUGAGGAAGGAAGACGUGGGAUUACAUAGACAAUGAUGCAGAUAAAUCUUCUGAUAUUUAGCUCAAUAUUUAUUUUUCCAUUACAACUACUUGCUUGCCAAAAUGUCAUCGUCUAGAGUAUCCUGACACUAAAUAAUUGUCUUUUCUAUGGAAAAUCAGAGAGCAAUGACCAGAUGUGAAAUUUUAAAUUGAAAAGAAGCAAAGAAACAUAGAGUUAUUUGAAGCUGAAAAGGAGAGAGCUAUAAGAAAAAAUAACCAAUUAAAUGUAAACACUCAAAUUUGUCUCCAUGAGUUUAGGUACCCUCCCCUUUUUUUGUGAGUUUUCUCACUACAAUAUUCCAGUGCCUAUCACAGUACGUAGUCAGGUAUGUGGGAGCAUAUUAAUAAAU
rnacentral:lncRNA from 1 species